ACAAAUGAUUUCCAUUGCACUUGCCGCCUGGCUCCAGCCAUACGCAGUACAGUGUGUACAGAUGCUGCCACUUUGCAUGCUAUCAGUCAGGAUGCUGAUCCGAUCCGAUCCAUAUCGUGUCAGGAAAUCUGAUCUGCACGUACGCCUUGCUCGAUCCGAUCCAUAUCGUGCCAGGAAAUCUGAUCUGCACGUACGCCUUGCUCGAUCGCCUGCUCUGCCGGGUCAUGCGCGCGUGGAAAAUGGCGCCAUGGCUCGCGACCAAGGUAAAGCACAACUUCCACCGGCCAGAGACUUGCAAGCCAGCCAACGAUUCUUCUUCUCUUCGGCCGGCCGUACGUGCGGCUCUUCGGCCGGCGACGUAUUUUGUGUGACGGCGCAGGCGACCAGCUGUUCCGAUGGGCACAGAUCUGAGGCGACACGCCCCCACUUGCGGCCGGCCAUGCCUCCCCACCAUUCAUGAACCGCCAACCCAAACAGUAGCUACUCCACCCAGCAAAGAGAUAGAUAAAUCCAUAUAAGUCCGUUAAAAAUGCAGAUUGUUUGACCGAAUAUCCAUUUCUGUGUCCAGACUCAUCUGCACCUGGUUAAGUGAAAAUUUAAAAAAAUUAAAAAAUUCUGAUUUCCUUUUUGCAUGGAAGACGAUUUGGUGUGUGAGGUCCGCUUCAAAUUUAAGAUCAUUUGCAUAUGAGCACAGUUUAAAAUCGAACCGGUAAUCGAAUCGCCGAGGCUACCGGUUCAGGUUUUUACCGGUCGGACCGCCGAUUCACCAGUUCGAUUGUCGAUAUUUUAAGUAAUAAAAUAACACAUAUUUUAUCAAUAAAUGCACGAAUCAAUAGAUAAUAAAUAUGUAAUCGGAGGUGACCGUCGGGCGUCUUGGACCUCCUACUCGGUUGCUCCUGGUCUGGACUCCGGAAUAGAAGGAGGCAACCGGAGGGAAGCCUGGUCGAUUUGACUGGAGCGGAGGGAGAUCGAAGUUGUAUGUACCAGUCUGACCAGGUGGCGGUAGCCCCUGUCCCCAACUGUCAAUAGAGGUGGUGCGGAUGGCGGUACACGGGAGUGCCGGUGCGGGCUGGUGACCUGGUGCUGCCAUGUAGUGCGGCGAGGGAGAAGUGACAUCGCCACGCCAUGGUGCCAAGUAGGGGUUGCACCGGAGGAGGCGCUGGCCCCCGAUAGGAUUUGUCCGUGGAUAAAAUCGAGAGAAAUGCUCCUAAAAUGGUUGAAACCCUACUAAAAGAGGGUUUUUCUUCCUUUUCCGAUUCUACAUCCAGCUUGUUCGCACGAAAACGAGUUGAUUGAGGGGUUUUCUAGAAACGAUAUCGAACCGACCGGUUUUUUGUGAACCACCCGGUUCAUCGGGUUUUUUCGGCUUGAUUGCUCAAUCAAUCCCCUGCAUUUAGAAAACUGUCAGGAUCGCAGGUUUUGGUUUCUUCUGGCCUGACCGUCGGUCCGGUCUGGUUUUUAAAACUUUGAAUAUGAGUAGCUCUCACUAAAUAAUAUAAAUUGAGUCAGAACAGCAGAUCAAGAGUAAACUGUUUCACAUACCCCAAAUUUGUCUUUUUUUCCGAGGGCUACUCAGUUGUCAAGAUGAGCUAAAAUUUUGAGCGGACCUCAGGCACCUAAGCAUCCUCCACGCAAAAAAGGAUAUUUUUAUUUUCUAAUUUUUUUUUAAUUUGCUGUUCACCAUGGGAGCCGAUGAGCUCGGGAGCCAAAUAGCCUCACUCAUUGUUUCAUAGCCUAGAUGGCGACAACUCGACCGGAAACUCGGACCGGAACAGCUCUUUUCUUUUCUUUUACAACAAGAUGACCCGGAUCUCUGCAUCUAAGAUGCACACAAUCAUUUUAUUAAAUAAAAGAAGUCCAAGUCAAUGAAAACAAAAUGGUUUACAACGAAACACGACCAUAUUGGUCGGAAAUCAAAUUAUAUAGCUUAUCCACAUAAUCUACUAAGCCAAGCAGACGCCAGCCUAGCUGCUCUGUUCCACGCUAGCUAGUCGCAAUUUUGAAGCAGGGCUAGAGUGUGACACGCGACUUUCAUGCCGUUCUUUAGUUGUAAGUUAAUUUUUUUCACACGGUCUAUUGCGGUUGGCUAGCUGUAAGUUUUACCUUAGCCUCGGCGUUCGGGUUUACCAAAAAUUCGGGUCGUGUAAUUCAGGUUAUAAAAAAAAUCAUGUUUUCAAAAAUAAAACCCGGACUUGCCCGAGUUUUUGCGACCCGGAAAUUCGGGGUCGGGUUCAUGUAAUCCCGAAUUGCAUCUUGUUGAGGCGAUGCAACAGGCGACACACAUGCUGAUAAGGGAGGCGCCGACGCGACACGCACAAUGACGAGGGAGGCGCCAAAGCGAAGCUGCACCACUACAAGCUGUUGAGGUAGGUAGCCGGCACAAUGCUGCCCCUUGCCGCUCUGGGGCGGGGAAGAUGGGAUGCGAAACAGGUGGCCGGCGCGGUGCCUCGCCACUACACGCUAUCGUGGGAGGCGGCCAGCAUGGUGUCUCACCACUGCACGCCAUCGAGGGAGAUGGCUCAUGCGUCACCUCUACACGCUGUUGAGGGAGGCGGUUGGCACGAUGCUGCCCCUUGCCGCUAUCAGGCAAAGACAUGGGAUGUGAGGGAGGCGGCGGCUAGGUCAGAAGCUGGAGGUUUGGAUCUUGCGAAUGGAUGUGUGUGCCUCUGUGCGUGAGAGAUUGGAUGUGGGCACACCAACACAUGGGUUGGGAGAGUGUGUGGCAUUGAAGAGGACAUGGGUUGCGGCAUAGUGUGGUGUUGGGCCUUAAUUUGCAGGGUUGGGCUAACAUUUCCCAUUAACUUCGGGUAGAUCGAGUACCGGGGUAUGAACCCGAAUUUUCUGAAUAAAAUUCGGUUUUCUGGAGUUACUACCCAAAUAGGUGCAUGGAUUUUUUGAGUUCUGGUAGUACUGGUUAGGGUUUGGGGUUCGGGUUUCACGUGUUAUGCCCAAGAUGAGUUCCACCUAUGCUAGGUUGUAUGGUUGUGUUGUUUCUUGUUGUCACUAUGGUCUUACUUGGUGGAGGUGGUAUGGUCUUCAUGGUGAAGACUGAAGAGAGGUGUUGGGUAUAUCACUCUGAUGUUGUUACACUUCACAGCGAUCUACUGGUGGUGUUUACGUGAGCCCAACAUGAACACCAUGAUUACAUGCGAGUAAGCCCAUAAGCUCUCGGCCAAUGAAGAACACUCUUACAAACGGGCCCGACAAACCAUCCACGGAGCCUUGAGCCACAACAACCCAUCAUUUCUAGGGAGCUUAGUAACUUAGUAGAUUCUGCUUGAUCUACAUAUCUAGGUUUGCUAAAAUUCAAUCAAUCAGUUCAUUCAUUGUGUAACUGCAUAUAUAAUGACUAAGACGCAUGUUUCCAAAGACCAUACUAAAGUGACAUAUGCAGUCGUGAUUCGCUUGGAUGCACAUAUCUGUGUCUUGUUUCUAGCCGGUUAUAUGGAUUCGUUGUUUUGUGAAAGUAAGGGCCUUGUAAGAUGGUUGUAUAAGCUCUAUUUUUACCUUUCUAGUAAGGCAUUUUCAACUCUUUAUGAAUGUGAUGGUUAUGUGCAUCUUGUUAUGCAAAGAUCGGGCAUUAGCUCAAUGACGGUCCAUAUUAUUUUGCGUACAAUAUCAUGUGCUAAAAAUAUGGGGCAUUCUAUAUCUAAAUAGCCAGUCUUCACUACUAAAUUUCUACGCAUGCGUGCUUUCACUUCAUCUCAAUCAAUGAUAGUCAUCCGGUUGAAUUUGUACGGCAUAAAAAAUCAAGCACAUACUCAUAUGCACACCAUACCACCUCAUCAAGCCAUGUAUGUGUUUUUUCCAGGGGAAUCGAGUCAUGCUAUUUUUGGUAAUGAAUGAUAGAUGUGUUGAACACUUGAAGCAAAAAACUAUAGUUCAAGCUUCACAUGUUUGUUAUAACUCGGCGUCACGUUAAAUUCAAUUCAAUGUUUCUAUUUUAUACAUCAUUUUGUUACAUGCUUCAUAUUUUUUUAUUGUUUUUAAUGUAAAGCAAGAACACUCUUGCAUUUGUUUAUUUUUCAUUAGUUUUUGUUGUUUCUAAGCACAUGUUUAUGCAUUUGUUGUAGCCUGGUUUGCGCGGCCGAGAACGAGGCAUCAUCUAUUUCUUAGUAUUGGUAGGCUAGCCAGCGAAGCUAAGCUACCUGCCAUGUCUAUUAGUGCGAGUUUUGUACUUUUGAAGUAGCUUGUUGCAAAUAAAACAGAGGUGGUUUCCAGGGAGCUUUAUACAAACAACAAGGAUAGGCCAAGAGAAAGUUGCACAUGGAGUCGUGGAGGGGAAGAAAUCACCGCCGCAAAUUGAACUUUAUAUGUCGAAUGCAUUGAACUUCCAAGAAAUGGUAUCCAACCAAAGCAUGACGCCAGAAAGAAGACACAUGUUGUAUUAUGCCUGGAUUGCCACCAUAGUAUACACUAUCGAUGUGUGGCUUCCCUGUCACCUCAGUGCCUUGUUUUGGGUGGCUGAGGCAUGGAGACAAUGCUUGGCGCUGGGUAGCAGCAAUCCAUCGUGGAGCUGGUGUGCGUCGACUGUGCCGGUAUGCAGGUUGACGAUGUAGAUGGCCGAGCCAUUGAGGCACAUGCUCGACGGAGUUGGUGGCGACAGAAAGUGGCGACAGUGAUGAAGUGAUGGCUCAUGGCGUAUCGUCUGGGGGCAGGUUGCCAUGUCCAGAUUUACAAUCGAUGUACACUCGCGAUGUAGGCAUGAGAUCGUCGAAGCGUUUCCGGUGGGGUAUGUUGGUGGUCCCUUCUCUCGUCAGUUUACCGUGACCUAUGUAAUAUAUGCGUUGAUGGAUGCUCUUGGCUCCAAAGACGCCUCUCUAUGGUUGGACUGUCUACUUCAUGUUUGCACAAUUUUCAGUUUGUAUGGUUGUGUCCAUGUUCCACUUGUGUGCACUUAAACAUCUUUGUUGCGUCGACAAUUGUUUGGCCUGAAUCAUUGUUACUUUUUUCA